UACAGAGGUCUCAAGCGUUGUUCGGAUUCAUUGGGCGUAAAGGGUGCGUAGGCGGGUCUUUAAGUCAGGGGUGAAAUCCUGGAGCUCAACUCCAGAACUGCCUUUGAUACUGGAGAGCUUGAGUCCGGAAGAGGUGAGUGGAACUCCGAGUGUAGAGGUGAAAUUCGUAGAUAUUCGGAAGAACACCAGUGGCGAAGGCGGCUCACUGGUCCGGUACUGACGCUGAUGUGCGAAAGCGUGGGGAGCAAACAGG
rnacentral:rRNA from 1 species